GUGCCUGACUUGGCAGCACAUAUUGGAAUGAAAAUUGGAACAACUUGGUGAAGACUAGCAUGACCCUGCACGAGGAUGACACACAAAUACAUCAACUGCUCCCUGUUUUA
ensembl:snRNA U6 U6 spliceosomal RNA